GAAGGGUGGGGCAGAGCUGGAGACGUGCCAGGAGCAGAGACACGGCGACUGCCACUGGGUGGUUUGAGCAUGGGUCAGACCCUGACGCCGGCAGUGCCAGGGGCCCAGCCCACCGGGAAUCCAUUUUCAGAAUUGGCUUAUAGAGGAUUAUAGAGGCUUGGUAAGUCCAAGAUCUGCAGGACAGGCUGGCAGGCUGGAGACCCAGGAACGAGUUGCAAUUCAAGUCCAAUGGAAAUCUGCUGGGAGAAUUCCUUCUUGCUUUGAGGAGGGCUUAGAAGCAAGUCCAUGACCUUUGUUGCAGAGAAUUAGCUACUGCAACCUGCUGGACCCUAGUAGAGACAGAGCACCUGACCGUGGGACAUCCGGUAACGACGACACUGAGCUACACGUCACGAGCUGAUAUUUCUGGUCCUCCAAGGCAGCUGGGCGCCGAAGCACCUCAUCACGUAUGAAAAUAGCGCAUUGGUGUUUGGGCCCAUCCAGGUCCAGAGGACUGAGUUCUAGCACUCUGAGGCCCAGGCUUGGAUGUCACCAGGUCUGCUGUUGAUACCUCUCCCUCUCCUCACCCUUCAGGCCACAACUCCCAGCCUCCUGCCUCCCUCUUAUAAGGCCCCUGUGAUUACACUGGACCCACCUGGAUAACCCAGGAUAAUCCUCCUAUUUCAAGAUCCUUAACUUUAUCACGUCUGCAAAGUUCCUUUUACCAUGUAAGGUGACCUCUUCACGGGUUCUGGGGGAUCGGGCAGUGGCAGCUUUGGUUGGGGGGAGGCUGUUACUGAGCCUACCACACUCAUUCGUCAGUUUCACUCAUCCACCCAGGGGUUCAGUGACCAGCCAGAGCCGUGCUGGGAGGGUCAGAGCUCCUCACCAGGGAGAAUCAGAGGCUGCUGUGCCCUGCCCCAACCCCAGGCCCUCCAGCUGCAGCUCCACUCUACUCGAUCUUCAGGCUUGGCCACUGCCCUAACCCGGACAUGGGCACACCCACACGGGGCACAGGCCUCAUGCCUCUCUUGGCUGGGGACUGAAAUAAACAUAGUCUGCUUCUGAUCCUGCAGUGCUCCCCGAGCAUCUGUUAUGAGCCUGGCGCUUCAUUCGCUUUUGCCAAUCUGCGGGCUGGGUUUCUUAUGUCCUUUGUGGGCGUGGGAGACCCAGAGAAGCCAAGUGGCUUGCCCAAGUUCACACAGAGUGGAAGUAGCAGAUUGGACAUGAGGUCCGAGGGACUCCGAGGCUGCCUCCUCUGUCUUCAGGAAGCCGUAGAUGGGCCUCAAGGAUGGCAGCCUCUCCUCAUGCCAAGUCAUUUUCCCUGGGCCCCCAAAUCUAGAGUUCUAGCUCAGUUCCCUCUGAGUUCAGCAGGAGUCGGCUGGUGGCCCUUGGGAACAGAAGACAUUAGGUUUCCGGUGCUGGGGGCCCCCCUGCCACCCGGCCCCCAAACUGCUGUCACCUUUUAAUAGAUUUCUCAGGGAAUGAGUAAUUUGUUGCUGGUGCUGGCUUGGCAUUCAGGAGGAAGUCCCGCAGGCCUGGAAGGUCAGCAUGGAGCCACUCAAAGGCGACCGCUGGAGAAGGAGAGUGGGUCCGUGAUGGCUGCUCAGCACAGCCGCGCCGCCAAUUACCGCCCGGCCUGCUUCCUGCCGCAGACGUGCCCAGGGCCAGCGCUUUGAACCCUUGCAGGGAGGCCAGUUUCUAGUAAACAACCCAGGGCAGCGGGCAGAUUGACAGCAGAAAUGCGGGAGGCUGGCCGGCCACUGGUGCUGCUCACUGCUCCUGCUGGCAGCGGGCAGCACUGCAGUCCCCCGGGGGUCCUCCCCAGUCAGGGGCCUCGGGGGGCCAUCAGAGUAUCUGAGCCUCACUGCUGGGUAGACAGGCUCCUGCCAUGUCCAGGGGGAUUUCAAGGCCAUUGUCUCUGGGCCAUGGAAGAUGACUUUUUCUGGGUGGGAAAAUGAGCCUGGUCUGGGACCCCUUCCCUGUCCACCAGCCUGGAAACAGGGGUUUGGAGAAAGAACCCACAGAGAGACAGCAGGGGCCUGCUUCUUUCUCUCUCCCCAGGAAAGCCUCAGAAAUAUUUGGGGGUGCAAAGGAGGGACUGCCAGACUUUCCACCACCAUUUUAUUUGGCACUUAAAAGAAAGGAGGUGCGCUUACCGCAUGAUUCCAUGUAUGUGAAGUUCUAGAAUGUGCGGGUGUUAGAAAGUGAGGGCCUCUCUAAGGGAUUGACUGGAAGUAGCACGAGGGAGAUUUCUGGGGGUGGUGGAAAUGUUCAUAGCCUGGUUGGGGUGCUGGUUACACAUUUAUCAAAAUCCACCCAGCUGCAUCCUUCAAACCUAUUUAUUUUACUGGAUGCACACUGCACUUCCACAAGAAAAAAAGUAGGAUGAAGAAAAAGAAGGGGAUGCAGAGGCCUGGGGAGAACCUAGGGAUAUGUGCACACACGAGCGUGUGCACACGCACCCCCCCACACACAUCCUGCAGGUACACAUUGCUAACAUCAGAGCGCUAUUCCCACCUUAUCCUUGGUGAGGUUGUGAAAGAGCACACAGGAUUUUCUUCAUCUUUGUAUUAUAAUUAAUAUCCUUCCAUGUGCCAGCAGUAAGUCGAUAGGAUGUGAAAUGAGGUGCCCAAGCAGGUUGGCACGCUGUUUCUAAGCAGCCAGCUCAAGGCCACGGGCCCGGUCCCCCUGGGGUAGGGCCACUAAUUAAUGCACCGGCUGUUGGUGCUUCUGAGGCGGGAGCUCCGGGGGCUCACCAGGCCCUGUGGCUGCACUUGCUGUCUGCUGCGCUCCUUCAAGGCCCCCAGGGGUCCAGAGGUGAGUGGCUGUUUCUGUGUCCACGAGGCUGGAGGGACGGAGUGAGUGCUCCACUGACAUGCCAGAAAACAAAGAGGGACUCAGACUGGUGGGGGGCCACUUGGAAGGGGCUCCAGUGGCUGGAUUUGGGACAAUGGAAGAUCAAAAUGAUGAAUAACACGAAUGUUUUAUGACCCAGAGCAUUAAAAAAAGUCCCUGAAUUUGGAAAAAAAAAAAAAGAAAAGAAUGUGAAAAAGCAGGGGAUACAGGAUAAGGGGAAAGGAUUCCUUACAGAAGAGCGUCAUGUAGGGGGCACCUGGGCGGCUCAGUCGGUUGAGCGGCCAGCUCUUGGUUACGGCUCAGGUCAUGAUCUCAGGGUCCUGAGAUGGAGCCCUGAGUGCGGCUCCGUGCUCAGUGGGGAGUCUGCUUCCAAUUCUCUCUCUCUCUGCCCCUCUCCCUGCUCUCUCUCUUUUUCUAAAAUGAAUAAAUACAUCUUAAAAAAAAAAAAAGAAGAGCGUCAACUAGAAAGUGAUGGAAACAGAAAGUGGCAUCUCACAGUGAAUGCCGUAAUAAGUGAUCGGGGCAAAAAUCAUCGCAGUCUCGAAGAAUGACCCACAAAUUAACAUCUUAAUUAUGUAGAGAAAAUCAUCGUUUUACAAAUGGAGAAAUCUGACAGACACCACUUUACCCAAAUGGUUAAACUUAAGACCACUAAUCUCGGGAGAAGCCAGUGUCUCUUGUACCCUCAGAAAGAACACAUCACUUACGAGGAACUCCUGCCAGAAAACCUGGCAAAAUCCUCAGGCAAGUCCACGCUGAAGAACACCCUUCAUACCCACUGACCUGGCCUCUUCGUGAGAGACCGUUCCAGACUGAAGGAGGCCAGAGAGUCAUAAGGACCAAUUCAAGGGGGAUCCCUGAUCGGAUCCAGAUCACAAAAAUCAUAAAGGUGAUAUUGGGGAUGUUUGAGUGUGUGGACUAAAUAUUAAAUAGUUAUAUUGAAACAAGAUUAUUAAA